rnacentral:rRNA from 1 species
CAAGGGUAUGGCUGUUCGCCAUUUAAAGUGGUACGCGAGCUGGGUUUAGAACGUCGUGAGACAGUUCGGUCCCUAUCUGCCGUGGGCGCUGGAGAACUGAGGGGGGCUGCUCCUAGUACGAGAGGACCGGAGUGGACGCAUCACUGGUGUUCGGGUUGUCAUGCCAAUGGCACUGCCCGGUAGCUAAAUGCGGAAGAGAUAAGUGCUGAAAGCAUCUAAGCACGAAACUUGCCCCGAGAUGAGUUCUCCCUGAGACUUUAGGUCUCCUGAAGGAACGUUGAAGACGACGACGUUGAUAGGCCGGGUGUGUAAGCGCAGCGAUGCGUUGAGCUAACCGGUACUAAUGAACCGUGAGGCUUAACCUU